UGGGGAAUAUUGCACAAUGGAGGGAACUCUGAUGCAGCGACGCCGCGUGAACGAAGAAGGCUUUCGAGUCGUAAAGUUCUUUUAUAUGGGAAGAUAAUGACGGUACCAUAAGAAGAAGCCCCGGCUAACUACGUGCCAGCAGCCGCGGUAAUACGUAGGGGGCUAGCGUUGUCCGGAAUCACUGGGCGUAAAGGGUUCGCAGGCGGAAAUGCAAGUCAGGUGUAAAAGGCAGUAGCUUAACUACUGUAAGCAUUUGAAACUGCAUAUCUUGAGAAGAGUAGAGGUAAGUGGAAUUUAUAGUGUAGCGGUGAAAUGCGUAGAUAUUAAAAAGAAUACCGGUGGCGAAGGCGACUUACUGGGCUCAUUCUGACGCUGAGGAACGAAAGCGUGGGUAGCAAACAGG
rnacentral:rRNA from 1 species